UGUUCUUCUCCAGCACCGCUGCCAACGUCGCCUGUUCUUCUCCUUCAGUGGCGCCACUGACGUCAUAUCUCCGAGCCCGUCCGCCCGUCUUCUUUAGUGUCGUGUGUUCUCUUCCAUCAGCGCCUCUUAUUAUUCGAUUUCUCUGUUUUGUAUAUUCAGACAUCUGAAGCUUCAAAUGUGUUUGACCACUUAAUAAGUAAGGGCGUGAAACCAAACUCGACGACAUACUCUCUGUUUGUUAACACUCAUCUCAUUAAGCGAGACCAAAAAGCAGCUCUCUCUGUUAUCAAUGAGAUGGUAAAUUCAGGAUUUGAACCAUCAAGGGAAAUGCUAAAAAAGGUCAGAAGGUGAUGUAUACGAGAGAUGGACUACAAGAGUGAUGACCAGGUCGAGUCCCUGGCUAGAAAGUACAAAAUCCAAAUGGGUAUGGAGAAUUGCCGGGACUUGCUGUUUAAUCUCCAGUACAGCACUGCUUACGCAUGAUAGGUAACUUCUGAUACACAAAAGGAAAUACAUGCGUCAUUUAAAAUGGUUUCAAAUUCAAGCUUUAUUUUGGUCUGUUUGGAAACCAUAGCGAAGGAAUUUUAUUAUCAACCAUCAUUUACUUUCAUUUACGCUCCAUUUGUUUAGCUUGAUUUUGGUGUCUGUCUGGAAACAUAGCAAAGGAAUUUGAUUAUCAAUCAUCAUUUAAUUACAUUUACACCCCAAGAACAUGGGAGGAAUAAAAAAGAAAAGAUUAGUCUCUUUAAUAACUGAUUUGGGGAUUGGAACUACUACUGUACUUCUGUUAGAUUAAGCAGCAAACAGGAGCAUAACACACUGAUGUGGGAGCUUUAAUAUGUAUUCUUUAUAUCAUUGAUUAAAAUAAUUGACAGUAUGAGUACAUACAUGCUCAUCUACCCCUCCAGAAAUUGGACUUGAUUUGUGAAAUAAAAAAUGACUUCCAUUUUUUUUUUUUUUUUUAUACGAAGACU